rnacentral:rRNA from 1 species
GAUGAACGCUGGCGGCGUGCCUAACACAUGCAAGUCGAGCGAUUCUCUUCGGAGAAGAGCGGCGGACGGGUGAGUAACGCGUGGGUAACCUGCCCUGUACACACGGAUAACAUACCGAAAGGUAUGCUAAUACGAGAUAAUAUGCUUUUGUCGCAUGGCAGAAGUAUCAAAGCUCCGGCGGUAUAGGAUGGACCCGCGUCUGAUUAGCUAGUUGGUAAGGUAACGGCUUACCAAGGCGACGAUCAGUAGCCGCCCUGAGAGGGGGAUCGGCCACAUUGGAACUGAGACACGGUCCAAACUCCUACGGGAGGCAGCAGUGGGGAAUAUUGCACAAUGGGCGAAAGCCUGAUGCAGCAACGCCGCGUGAGCGAUGAAGGCCUUCGGGUCGUAAAGCUCUGUCCUCAAGGAAGAUAAUGACGGUACUUGAGGAGGAAGCCCCGGCUAACUACGUGCCAGCCGCCGCAGUAA